rnacentral:rRNA from 1 species
AUGGCAAAUAGAGUGGAUACCCUUCUUCAAAAGUACUGUGCGGCAUCAGGGCAGCGCAUCAACAAGGAGAAAUCCUCCAUUUUCUUUAGCAAGGGCUGCUCUGAAUCCUCGAGGUAAGAGAUCAAACAACUUCUCCAAGUUCAAAAUGAGAAGCUUUCUGAAAAGUACCUUGGACUCUCUGCCGAUGUGGGAAGAGCUAAGGAGGGGUCUUUCAAAUAUUUGAAGGACAGGAUCUGGAAGCAAGUACAAGGCUGGAUGGAGAAGGCACUUUCGGUUGGAGGGAAGGAGGUGCUCAUCAAGUCCGUGGCGCAAUCAAUCCCAACAUAUUCCAUGGCCUGUUUUAAGCUUCCACGAGGCCUGUGUAUAACACCCACGAUGCGGCUAUAUCUCCCACGUGUCGGAGCAUGA